CGUAUGGUGUUUAGCUUCGGGCUGAAUAGCGAUACGGCCUUAUGAUGAGGU
rfam:Alteromonas sp. RW2A1 genome.